GACGAACGCUGGCGGCGUGCUUAACACAUGCCAGUCGAACGGAAAGGCCCUGCUUUUGUGGGGUGCUCGAGUGGCGAACGGGUGAGUAACACGUGAGUAACCUGCCCUUGACUUUGGGAUAACUUCAGGAAACUGGGGCUAAUACCGGAUAGGAGCUCCUGCUGCAUGGUGGGGGUUGGAAAGUUUCGGCGGUUGGGGAUGGACUCGCGGCUUAUCAGCUUGUUGGUGGGGUAGUGGCUUACCAAGGCUUUGACGGGUAGCCGGCCUGAGAGGGUGACCGGCCACAUUGGGACUGCGGGACGGCGCAGACUCCUACGGGAGGCAGCAGUGGGGAAUAUUGCACAAUGGGCGGAAGCCUGAUGCAGCAACGCCGCGUGCGGGAUGACGGCCUUCGGGUUGUAAACCGCUUUCGCCUGUGACGAAGCGUGAGUGACGGUAAUGGGUAAAGAAGCACCGGCUAACUACGUG
rnacentral:rRNA from 1 species